rnacentral:rRNA from 1 species
AUGUAAAGGUAACGCAGAGAACUGAAACAUCUAAGUACCUGCAGGAAGAGAAAGUAAAAACGAUUUCGUAAGUAGCGGCGAGCGAACGCGAAGAAGGGCAAACCAAGAAGCUUGCUUCUUGGGGUUGUAGGACUGCAACGUGGACUUAAGCAUUAUAGUCGAAUAACCUGGGAAGGUUAAUCAAAGAGGGUAAUAAUCCCGUAGACGAAAUAGCGCUUAUACCUAGCAGUAUCCUGAGUAGGGCUGGACACGCGAAAUCCAGUUUGAAUCCGGGAGG